rnacentral:tRNA from 1 species
GCUUGGCAGGCUCAGUCAGUAGAGCAUGAGACUCCUGAUCUGAGGGUUGUGGGUUUGAACCCCACAUUGGGUA